AUCCAGAUGACGAGUCCCGAAUAGGACAAAACGCACGUCAAACCGUAU
rnacentral:hammerhead_ribozyme from 1 species